AGAGUUUGAUCAUGGCUCAGGAUGAACGCUAGCGGCAGGCCUAAUACAUGCAAGUCGAACGGAUUAGAGUAGCAAUACUCUGAUUAGUGGCGCACGGGUGCGUAACGCGUAUGCAACCUACCUUUUACUGGGGGAUAGCCCGAGGAAACUCGGAUUAAUACCGCAUAACACUAUUUGAGGGCAUCUGAAGAUAGUUAAAGAUUUUAUUGGUAAAAGAUGGGCAUGCGUGCCAUUAGCUAGUUGGUUGAGGUAACGGCUCACCAAGGCUUCGAUGGCUAGGGGUUCUGAGAGGAUGAUCCCCCACACUGGUACUGAGAUACGGACCAGACUCCUACGGGAGGCAGCAGCAGGGAAUAUUGGGCAAUGGAGGCAACUCUGACCCAGCCAUGCCGCGUGCAGGAUGAAGGCCUUCUGGGUUGUAAACUGCUUUUAUCUAGGAAGAAAAAGUCCCUGCGGGGAAAACUGACGGUACUAGGUGAAUAAGCACCGGCUAACUCCGUGCCAGCAGCCGCGGUAAUACGGAGGGUGCAAGCGUUGUCCGGAUUUAUUGGGUUUAAAGGGUGCGUAGGCGGCUUAGUAAGUCCGUGGUGAAAUCCAACAGCUCAACUGUUGAACUGCCAUGGAUACUGCUAGGCUUGAGUACAGACGAGGUAGGCGGAAUGGAUAGUGUAGCGGUGAAAUGCAUAGAUACUAUCCAGAACACCGAUUGCGUAGGCAGCUUACUAGGCUGUAACUGACGCUGAGGCACGAAAGCGUGGGGAGCGAACAGGAUUAGAUACCCUUGUAGUCC
rnacentral:rRNA from 1 species